UACGGGGGGGGCAAGCGUUGUUCGGAAUUACUGGGCGUAAAGCGUGCGCAGGCGGUUGUGCAAGACAGAUGUGAAAUCCCCGGGCUCAACCUGGGAACUGCACUUGUGACUGCACAGCUUGAGUGCGGCAGAGGGGGAUGGAAUUCCGCGUGUAGCAGUGAAAUGCGUAGAUAUGCGGAGGAACACCGAUGGCGAAGGCAAUCCCCUGGGCCUGCACUGACGCUCAUGCACGAAAGCGUGGGGAGCAAACAGG
rnacentral:rRNA from 1 species